GGCCCUCCUCGGCCUCGGCCCGCGGGGGAGCCGCCCCGGGCGCCGGCGGGGGAAGGAGGCGGCCAGGCCCCGCGGGCGCCGCGUCCCGAAGCACUCGCGUGGGGCGAGCGGCCUGCCGGGCGGUGGCGCGGCCGGCGCGACGAGGCCCCGCGCUGCCGGGGGGGUGGCCGCCUCCUCGCCGUGCCGUGCGGCAGGUGCCUCGAAAUCCGCGCCGCAGAGCGCGCAGUGACUGCGGCUGAUCGUGGCAGGCGGUGGGCUUUCGGUUGCCCCUUACGGAGGGGCAGCCCCUGUCUGCGUGCGGUGUCCUUCGUCACGCGAGGCGACGCUGCGGAGAGAAGCGGCUCCCGUCUUCCCUCGCUGGCAUUCGAGCGAGACGUGGGCCUGCCUAGGACUCUCCGGCGGUUUAAACAGAAAAGCGCAAAGCUGCCUCCGACCGAGGCCACCGGCUCUCCUCGGGGCUGCCGUGCCGUGCUGGGCAUCCCUCGCCUUUACUGCAGCCGUGUGACCUGUCCCAGCCAGCGUGCGGUAACGGUACCGUGUGCGAGUGUAGGGUCCGGGGGGGAUUUCUUCUCAUAUCCCCACAACUAGGGUGUGGUGGCACGAGCAUCCCUUCAGCAACAUGACGUAGUGACUGGGCUUGGCAUAUUUUUGCCCCUUGCGCUAGAAUGGCAAAUUCCGGAGCUGUCAGACGUGGUGUUCAGUUCUGUCUGCAGGACCUCGCUCGGGUCGCUUGGCUUCUGUUCGCCUCCAUUUACCUGCACGUUGUGUUGGGGUGAUGGGUGUCACUGUCCUUCCUUCCCUGAGGUGCUGCAAGGAUCAAUUAAUUACCUUGUGUUAAGUGGUGUGGAAGGACUAAGUCAUUGCAGUGUUUUGGGUUUCAGUGUGCAGGUGCGUGUCCAUGGGGAAAUGCUUCCAGUCAUGAGGCGAUGCCAUUCAGGGAAUCAAGAGCUGCUGAGAAGAAGUAAAGAUUGUGUAAGUGUUUGGAGGCUUGGUUACGUUUUCGGUAGUGUCCACUCAGCUGGGAGUGUUCUCACUUCUGGCUGCUCACCUGGGAGACGCUCAAGGCUUGUACAUACAGCUCUGCGGGAAGUCACACACUCGAAUCAGGACUUCUCCAGUUGUCCCAGUGCGGCUCGACACAAAGGCAGUGGGGAUCCCUGUGACGCUGUCCAGGUCUCAGCACAGAAAAACCACCAGACCACUUCAUGCCAAAACGUUGGGUGUCAGCCUUCACCACGUGGAAAAGCACCUUCCUCAAAUAAUGCCGGGAGACUGAAUUCAUAAGCAGUGCAGUAACAUGAAACCAUCACGUAUUAAAAAUGGUUGGCUUUCGAGUGGUGAGGUGAGUGCACUCGCAAGUUCACCACAAAGAGGAACUGGGGUUAGUUUGAUGCUUUCGUCGGCUCAUGUGUGCUUCUUACCUCUGCCCUCACCGAUGCUGAUGCCAGAUGCAUUAUGGUUUUUAGGAGAGAACAGAAAUUGCCCUAAGGUUUUAUUUUUAUUCAGUGGUACAGUGUUAUGUGAUGCCCAAGGAGCUCUUCUCACAACACAUCAUCUUUUUCUCUGCUGUAGAAGGAGCUACUUUAUUUAUUGAAUAAAAAUAAAUUUACUGGACAUAAAAUCAGGCCAGCCAGUCCUCUGUGCCAAAGCAUGAGUUCUUGUGAGGAGACUGGUUAUUAUUAUGUCUUUGUUUUUUUGCUCUUCUUAAUUGAACUUUUUCAUUUCUGAAUAAUUAAAGAGAAAGACUUGGCCCUUUGGCUAGCCGCUUUGCCUUGUGUUUGUCCUUUUUGGCUUGUUUUCCAGAAACUAGAAUAAAGGCAACAUUUGUUCUGUUGGCCUCGGAGGAGUUGAUUGGAACAACCUGCAGCAUGAGGGUAUGAUGGGGGAAGGAGUUCCCGUGCUUUUAAGGAACUAACUGUCCGUGCCUUUGUGUUUCUGUGCCACGUUCUCCUCUUGCCCCACAGCCCGGGAGGGUGUUGAAUGGCCUGGCUGCACCACCAACAAGGCAAAGCUGGAGGUGAGGGAGCCCGGAGCUUUGCCCCUGCUGUCAUGCCUACGGGACAGCUACUGCUGGUUCUUCUAGGGAGGCUUUCUCGGUCGGGAGAGGUCCAUCCACCUUCGCGCUGCCCAGCACUCUGAGGAGCAGGGCUGCCUCCCCGGGCAGCACUGUGCCUCCCACCCCAGCGGGAGCUUCCCCACGGUCCCCCUCUGCAAAGGGCCGGGUGGGUACCGCAUCCUGACCUGCUGCAUUUGUUCUGAAACAGGGAGAGGUCUGAGGCAAAUCCACCCCUCACCUGUGCAGUCCUGUUAAGUCGUCUGUGCAGAAUGGGCCCUGCUGAAUAUUUGUACCAGUCUCCCCGACGGGGAAGCUCUUGGGGUUUCGUGCUGAUUCCUGAAGGCCUGAGCUUGCAGAUCCGAUGGUAGCAGCUGGGGUGAGAUGAUAGAUAUUUGUGUCCCACCGAAGUAAAGCUGAGAGAUACGAGUUACUGAACUUGACUGGUUGACCAGGUACAAGAAGUGUUUUGCAGAAACGUUUUGCAGCUAGGUAUUGUCUUCCUGUUCUGGGUUUGCAUAGCCUUUUGCUGGGACUCUUAAAAUACUGAGAAUUGUAUAUAGAUCAAGAAGAAGUGGCAUGGUGUGAACACCAUUUGGGAACAGCUAAUGAUGUACCCAGCCCAGCCACCAAAGCCAUUGCUGAGAACUGGCAAAGCCCGAACUUCAUCUUAAUCCGAGCACCUUGUAUCUCGCAGCCGCUCCCUGGGAUGACUCGCAGAGGUGUAUCUCAUUCUUAGCUGGCCUUCACCGAGAAGGAAUGCAGCACGAUCGCAAUUUUGGUGUGGUGUAAUUACCCUGCCUUUCUUGCCCCAUUACCACUGACAUUGCUCUCCUCACGCCUGGGUUUACAGGCUGACUUGUACAACCUCUCUGCUUUGUUUUGUUUUGUUUUGCUUUUUAAUGACACUGGCGAGAAGAUGGGAGGUGUUUGCUGGUUUCAUGGAAGCUCCCUUUGGUUUCUGUGUGGCAAGGCACUGAGUCCUGGUUUUUGUAAGACUCUGAAAAAGCUGAGUAAUAAGAUAAAGAAGAAAGUCUGGCAAGAAGUUUUAUUCACAUGAGCAAGCAGUGGCUGGAGCCAAGUGCUUUAUGAUGUUUUAACUGCAAAAUAGUUGAGGGGAUUUCCUCCUUUUCAGAGCUACUGCUGGACUCCCGCAGUGCUGAUAUACAGCUGGCUCCUCAUUUUGACCUUUGUAGCUUUGCCACUGCACGUCUUUGGACAGAGGUUUGGGGGACCGAGCCCAGCCCUGCAUAAAUUUGCCCUGCGCCCAAGGCAUGGGCUUGCAGAGGGUGGUGCUGACGACUUGCCGGUCGCCGGGAGGGUGUGGGAUGCCCCUGUGCCAUUUCACAGGGCGAUGCUGUCCUGUUCUGGGGGCAGAUGCGUGAAUCUGGCACCCAAGGCAGGACCCGCCUCGCGAUUUGCCUUUUCACGUUGGCUGACACUUCUACAGACCAUUUCAUGGUUUAAGAGGUAAAACUUGACAUUUAUUUCAUGUGACUGUCUUCCUGUUGAUCGCUGAAAUGUUCAGGACUGAGCCUUGCCCGUAGGGGCUCAGGCUCUCACUGCGCGUGAGUCUAGCGAUGAAGGCAGGUUUCUGGGGCUCCCAGGAGCAGCGGUCGCGUGAACUCGUGUGCGUGGAGGUGGGCCUGGGGAAGGAGUCAUCUGAUCACGCACAGACUUGUUGCAUCCCUGCUGCGAAACGUGGGUAUCAGAAAUACUUGUCUUGCAGGUUACUUACUGGACCCUGCACCAGGAGCCAAGGCAAAUGAAACCUUGACCAUGAGAGGGUCAGAACUCUGCAUUUUAACUACCAGCCGCAGCAGCUGAAGCUACAUCCUGCACUCAGUUGCAUGUCGGCAAGGCAGUGUCUCAGUGAAUAUACGGAGAUAUAACUGGUCAGUCCAAACCGGUGUGCUGGUUUUGGAGCAUUAGGAGCAGAGUCCAGUGAAAAACCAGUCGGCAUCUGACUGGGUCCCAAACGUCUGCAGGUGCAGCUCUGGACGAACGCACGAGGCUCUGGUGACUGCUCUUCAUCCUCCAAGAGGAUGAAGGCUCAGGCGGCACGUCUGCGCCGGCGGGAACCAAGGCCGGUCCUGAGAAGAAACGGGCAGAUGGGAACUCUGCUUUGGACCGGCGCAGCUUUGUUGCGUCUCCCUGGGCGGGUAGUUAAGCAAGGCUUUUACUGCCUUUGCACAUAGGCUUCUGGUGCUGAACUCUCACGAAGGGGCUGUUACAGUCUGAACUCGUCUUCCCACUUGGAUCGUCUGAGGAAUCCUCCCGCACUAACGCUUUGCUCUGACGGACCUCCUGCUGUGCGUUGCGGCAGUUGAGAGUGAACCAAAUAAUUAAUUUAGGAAGCAAGUUUUGCUGAGUACGUGACUUAGAAAAUGGAAAAGAGCAGGACUAUUGCAGCAGUGGGGUGGAUUUCAGUUGUAACCUCGGACAAGUGUGUUCUGCCCUGUAGUUGCUAAGCGUUGCACUCGACCAUCCAUCGUUUCAAAAUUGCUUUCUGUUCCAUGAUUAUCUUCACAGGGGAAGGUCAAUUCAAAGUGUUUUCUUGUUUUUCUUUCCAGGGUUGUUUAUCCAUUUCCAUUUUUAAUAAUAAAGGUGAACAAACAAAAGAAAAACAUGGCAAUAUACUACCUGGCAUUUAAAACAGAGAGAACACCUAUAUGUGCUACAGCACACUACAUCAGUGGACAUCAAAGUGCCUUACAGAGGUCGUCAUCCUCAUUUCAAAGCUGAGGAAGCAGAGCUGGUGAGAGGGAAAGCGAAUGGCUUAGGAGGCCGGUGGCAAAGCAGGGCGGGAGCCUCCCGAGCCGGUGCCGCAGCCGGAGAUGAGGGAACACGGGAGAGCAAACCUGUCCUAACUUAAUCAGGACAGCUCAGGUCCCAAGUGCAACGAAGGCACAGUGACACUGCAGGAAAAGCAGCAAAUCGUGCCACAAGCUGUGGAGCCAGCGAAGCCUGGUACUUUCAAACUCAUUUUUUUUCGUAGACUCCUGAAAGCAGAUAAAGGGUGGUGGUACAGCAGGGAUGUUCGUGGUGUUGAUUUGGUAGCCAGCGCUGUUUAAGCUUACUGGAAAAUGCUUUCCAAGGGAAGACACACAACGCCUCAAAAGUGGACUUCCAACCCUGUGGAAGUGCACCUUUUUUUGAGCCUCCCGAGGCUCACUACGAAGUGAGAUUCACUUAAGUUAUUCCUCUGAUGAAUGAAUCCUCCCUUUUGGUGGGCAGAUUUAGUAUGCCUGCAGCCACGCUGCCUUGGAACUAGGUCCUGCUACAUCUCCUCACCCAGAAGGGGAGAGGCUGAGUGAGGAUCUUGAUGAGCAAAUCCAAAGCAGUGAUUUUCAACCCUUCUUGAUUUUGAACUCUGAAAAUAUUUCGAAUGGCUGUUCAGCCUCCUUGACAGUGGAUUGAAACCUGCUGAUAGCAGGUUGCUUUCCUUAGCUUUAACGGACCCUUUGAAAGUAGGCCAUGGACGCCACAGGUCUGCAGAUCAAAAGCUGGAAACAAGUGCUCUAAAGAAAAGCCGUGAUGUUUCAGGAGUGCUUCCAGUAGCUCGGUUGUGUGUGCACAAAGCCGGCUGCCUGGGCUGGCCCCUCGCACCCCGUUUUUGCACGGGGCGCAGCUGGACGUGCCGUCCUUGGGAGGUCAGCCCUUGGCGCAGGGAAGGGCCCGUCCCCAGGUUUGUCACGAGCUCUGCUACACGACUGACACUUGUUGUCCAUGAUAACUGCUUUGAAACAGAUUGCAGUGUAACCUUCUGAUUAACAGUAUAUCCCUGUCUGCUUUCCGUUUCUGCAGACAAGCAUUGCAAAAGGUGGGUAGCAGGGGCGGGUUGUCUGGCUUUGCCGUCCACCCCCUUUGAAAUUCAGCUAUUUUUUCUUGAUGAAGCCCAUGUUCCCCAUCAAUUAAAAAGAAGCAGGAUUGUGUUCUUAGCCCACAGGAGUGUUGUGAGAGUUUUAAUAAUAAACUUUGCAAGAUCAUCAAAUGUGCUAUAAAAAUGCAGAUUAAUGUUACUGGAAAGCCUGCAGGUUCUUUACCUUGUGUGUCUCUUCUGUGGAGUCUGCCAGCAGAGCUGCAUACAUUUGCUGCUCAGAUUAAUAAUCUCAGUCGUAAUAUCAACCGAACACACUUUUUUGUCUUUAUGUUUUAAACAUUACGGCAUAUUGUACCGUGCAACCUAUGAUAAUACUGUUUAGCAUCUCUUGUUAUUAGAGCAUCUCUUCACACUCUUGUUGUUACAGGUCCCAGAGGCAUUAUUUAUGGGCAGACCUCAAAGACCUAGUAGUACUUCAGUUUUACAGAUGGGAAAACUGAGACCCGUUUUUCAAGCAAAAACUCAGCCAGUGGUGUUGAAACUGGGUCCCCUGCCUCUCACAUGCUUUCUCUCCAAGCACUGAAAAACACCAUGUGUUCAAAAACACUGCAGACUAUAAAUUACAGGGCCUCAACACAGAGUUUGCAAGUGAAUGUGAAUUUGCUAAACAAGAUUGUUGCUCCAUCCAUACGUUGUGAGCGGGAUCCCUGUGUGCUUGGCUACUCUUGGAGAGACGUUUUAUCCGGAGGGGAAAGCCCUCACUCGUUACUGGUGGCUCCUACUCUACUGGCUGGCAACUGAGUGUUUUAGAUCCCUAUGUACUUUAUUAAUAAUCUUCUCUUAACACAGAGGCUUUAUACCGGUUACCACUAUGUUCCUCAGAUCAACAAUGCUUUAUAGAUUUAAAAGCUUGAGACUGUUUUCAUAAAGAGUCACUUGGACUCUUUCCGUUUCAUGAGCCUUACCUUCCUUGCUACCCUGAGGCUGAGCGUCAAGAGCAGCGGAAGAACAUUUCCCUCGCUCCUGACGAUGAGGAUGCUUUGAAAGGAGAUGCUGGUCCAGUCGCUGCUAGACUGAGGGUGGCAUUUCCUACCUCCGCUGCUUUGGUGAGUGUCCUGGUCCCCUUGGCCGGCACCGGCAAUGUCAGAAGCAAAGCGAAGAACAAGCCUCUUGUCUCGUGACCACGUACCAGAGAGAUUCAAAGUCCGCCCUAAGGAGGCAGAGUGGCCCCUUUCCUUCGCUUUUGAUACUGGUCAUGUUAGGUGUUAAUUGCAAUUACCCGCCCGUCGCUGCGAAUCCUAUUUUUAGGUGCCUGCCUUUCCCCGUGGCUUAUAUCAGAGGUGCAGGUGGGUAGCCUGGGUUUGGGAACGCCACGUCUGGAGCCAGGCACCUCAAAGGGAAGUGCGGGAGCUGCUGUCACCCCACCUAAACCCUUUGCCAAUCCGGGGCCUGAAUGCCAGAGGUGAGUAGUUGUUAUCGACGGAGGAACUGUCUUGUUUGCUUCUGUACCACAGAAUAAAUAAAGCAGGUUUCCCAGCUGUUC